rnacentral:rRNA from 1 species
GGAGUUUGGACCGUGUCUCAGUUCCAAUGUGGCCGUUCAUCCUCUCAGACCGGCUACUGAUCGUCGCCUUGGUGGGCCAUUACCCCACCAACUAACUAAUCCAACGCGGGCCCAUCUUACACCGAUAAAUCUUUUCCGGAUGGAUCAUGCGAUCCUACCGGCUUAUGCGGUAUUAGCAGUCAUUUCUAACUGUUGUCCCCCUGUGUAAGGCAGGUUACCCACGCGUUACUCACCCGUCCGCCACUAAGCUUAUACUUCCAUUGGAGCAAGCUCCCCUUUCUUUAUAAGCUCCGUUCGACUUGCAUGUGUUAAGCACGCCGCCAGCGUUCAUC